rnacentral:rRNA from 1 species
GACAGAGGGUGCAAACGUUGCUCGGAAUUAUUGGGCGUAAAGCGCACGUAGGCGGCUUUGCAAGUCGGAUGUGAAAUCCCUCGGCUCAACCAAGGAAGUGCAUCCGAAACUGCAGAGCUUGAGUACCAAAGAGGAUCGCGGAAUUCCCGGUGUAGAGGUGAAAUUCGUAGAUAUCGGGAGGAACACCAGUGGCGAAGGCGGCGAUCUGGGUGGAUACUGACGCUGAGGUGCGAAAGCGUGGGGAGCAAACAGG